UAUCUUGGACCUAUAACAAGGGUGGUCUGGCAUGCUAACCGUGUAAAAUACUUGUCAACAAAGCCUAACAGAUUGGCAACCCGACUGUCUCAACGCAAGCAAUGUAAACUAAAUUUAAAUUUAAAUUUAAUAAUCGAUAAGUAGUUUUUAUACCUAGCUUUGUUCGAUUCGACCAUAUGGUAGGCAGGCAGGCAGGCAACGGAGCGUACUUGGAAUCGACGUGCUGAGCGGUCUUUGCAAUAGCAAUUGUAAAGUGAAAAUGAAAAGGGGUACACCCAUCCAAUCCAUGGUGAUGGCACGCAUUUCAUUUGAUCACCGAGCGCCGUAUGGAGACACGGGAGAGUUACGUGUAGAGGGAUGUCGCUAUCUGAGCUUGUAUGGAAAGGCAAGUCGAUCUUAAGAAUACAAGGUAGCAAAGACGACGCUGAGACUUUGGAUCCUCGCAACUUUUUAUGGGAAUAAGGAAUCGCCCAGAUCAGACCGUUGCUGUUAUUCGAGUUUCACUCCGAUUCGGUUCGCCGGAAGAUGCGUUCUUCGACAAUCAACAAAAAUUGAUGUGUGCGUUACUGACAAAACAAAUAUGAAGUGUCUAAAUAAUUAACGUAGAGCUGUUCAAAAAUGAGACUCGUAUGAAGACAUCUCGACAAUACCUACCUAUAUUAUCCGUCAACGAGUAAGAUCAAAUCAGAAAGAAUAUAUCUUCAGUAAACAAGGCUAUGCUUCAUGUGAAAUCGUUGAUUUAUUUCUUUACGGUGUUACACAGCGUUUACCAGAAAUCAAUACGCGCCCUUUAGUCUCAAAAAAUGUUCCGCAUAGAAAAAAAAACGCAAUAAAAAUGCAAAGUUGUCCAUAUGAA